AAAAGAAGGCAGCAAACACACAUGCUACUGGAAGUCCACUGGAAAAGAUACAAAGGUGUACUAUAGAGGCAGAGCUCCUCAAGGAAUCAGAACUGAUUGGGUAAUGCAUGAGUAUUGCCUUGAUGACAAAGAGUGUGAAGACACCACUGGAUUACAAUUUUUGUGAUGAAUGAAAACAGUGUGAAAGCAUGGGACCAGUGGAGAAGAAGCU
rnacentral:sRNA from 1 species